rnacentral:rRNA from 1 species
UUAGGGUUUGAUCCUGGCUCAGAAUCAACGCUGGCGGCGUGCCUAACACAUGCAAGUCGAACGCGAAAGCCCCGAAAGGGGCAAGUAGAGUGGCAAACGGGUGAGUAACACGUGGGUGACCUGCCUUCGAGCGGGGGAUAACGUCCCGAAAGGGACGCUAAUACCGCAUAACAUCCUGCCUUUGAAGAGGUGGAGAUCAAAGCUGGGGAUCGCAAGACCCGGCACUUGAAGAGGGGCCCGCGUCUGAUUAGCUAGUUGGUGGGGUAAUGGCCUACCAAGGCAACGAUCAGUAUCCGGCCUGAGAGGGCGGACGGACACACUGGGACUGAGACACGGCCCAGACUCCUACGGGAGGCAGCAGUGGGGAAUUGUUCGCAAUGGGCGCAAGCCUGACGACGCAACGCCGCGUGGAGGAUGAAGAUUUUCGGAUCGUAAACUCCUGUCGAAUGGGACGAAAAGAUUGCGGGUUAACAGCCCGUAGUCCUGACGGUACCGUUAAAGGAAACCCCGGCUAACUUCGUGCCAGCAGCCGCGGUAAUACGGGGGGGGUAAGCGUUGUUCGGAAUUACUGGGCGUAAAGGGCUCGUAGGCGGCCAACUAAGUCAUACGUGAAAUCCCUCAGCUUAACUGGGGAACUGCGUGUGAUACUGGAUGGCUUGGAUUUGGGAGAGGGAUGCGGAAUUCCAGGUGUAGCGGUGAAAUGCGUAGAUAUCUGGAGGAACACCGGUGGCGAAUGCGGCAUCCUGGACCAAUAUUGACGCUGAUGAUCGAAAGCCAGGG